CUACGAAGGGUGCAAGCGUUACUCGGAAUUACUGGGCGUAAAGCGUGCGUAGGUGGUUCGUUAAGUCUGAUGUGAAAGCCCCGGGCUCAACCUGGGAAUUGCAUUGGAUACUGGCGGGCUCGAGUACGGUAGAGGGUAGUGGAAUUCCUGGUGUAGCAGUGAAAUGCGUAGAGAUCAGGAGGAACAUCCGUGGCGAAGGCGACUACCUGGACCAGUACUGACACUGAGGCACGAAAGCGUGGGGAGCAAACAGGAUUAGAUACCCUGGUAGUCCACGCCCUAAACGAUGCGAACUGGAUGUUGGGGGCAAUCAGGCCUUCAGUAUCGAAGCUAACGCGUUAAGUUCGCCGCCUGGGGAGUACGGUCGCAAGACUGAA
rnacentral:rRNA from 1 species